GAGGCGUUAUUAUAUAUUUAGUAUAUUUUAUUUUCAUUAAAGUGGAUUUUGUCUUAU
rnacentral:tRNA from 1 species